GGCCCCACCCUCCUCGGUCACUCAAGUGGACGGGUGGGGUGCCUGCGGCUGGCCGCCCCCGCACCCUCGGAGCUCUCCAGGGGGCCCCAACCCAAGCCCUGCACCUACUCUUGAAGGCGACGGCCGCGUUGUUGACCAGUACAUUGAGCCCCCCGUACUCCUUGCGCAGGAAGUCGCGCAGGGCGCGGAUGCUCUGCAGGUCGUCGAUGUCCAGUUGGUGGAAGCGCGGGCUCAGGCCCUCUGCCUGCAGCUGCUGCACUGCCGCCUGGCCCCGCGCCACGUCCCGCGCGGAAAACUAGACAAUCCACCAGCCCAGGAGGGGACAAGCAGGCUUAAUCCCCCUCCUCGUCAUCUCUGGCUCCAGCCCCACCCUGGCCCUUCCUGGCAUUCUUCCUCUUCACGUGGCUGGGGUGGCCACCCCAAUAGGGAGGCAGAGGGAGAAGUCCAUGUGCUUCUGGGAAUCCAGGCGGACAGUGAAGAACAGGAUAUUUACCACCUGCUCACGGAUAUGAUACUGUUGGAUCAGCACACGAGCGUGGCGGAUGGACUUAAGCCAAG
rnacentral:antisense_RNA from 1 species